rnacentral:rRNA from 1 species
UACGAAGGUGGCAAGCGUUGUUCGGAUUCACUGGGCGUACAGGGAGCGUAGGCGGUUGGAUAAGCCCUCCGUGAAAUCUCCAGGCUUAACCUGGAAAGUGCAGAGGGGACUGUUCAGCUAGAGGAUGGGAGAGGAGCGCGGAAUUCCCGGUGUAGCGGUGAAAUGCGUAGAGAUCGGGAGGAAGGCCGGUGGCGAAGGCGGCGCUCUGGAACAUUUCUGACGCUGAGGCUCGAAAGCGUGGGGAGCAAACAGG